rnacentral:rRNA from 1 species
GGCCUAAUACAUGCAAGUCGAACGGUAACAGGUGUAGCAAUACAUGCCGACGAGUGGCGCACGGGUGCGUAACGCGUAUGCAACCUACCUUUAUCUGGGGAAUAGCUUCGAGAAAUCGAAAUUAAUACCCCAUAACAUUAUGAGUUGGCAUCAACUUAUAAUUAAAACUCCGGUGGUUAAAGAUGGGCAUGCGUGACAUUAGCUAGUUGGUGAGGUAACGGCUCACCAAGGCUACGAUGUCUAGGGGAUCUGAGAGGAUUAACCCCCAAUCUAGUACUGAGACACGGACCAGACUCCUACGGGAGGCAGCAGUAAGGAAUAUUGGACAAUGGUCGCAAGACUGUUCCAUCCAUGCCGCGUGAAGGAUGACUGCCCUAUGGGCCGUUUUCUUC